AAACACUAUCAACCUUUAAUGGGUGGGUCUUUUUCAUCUACAAUUGCGUCAAGCUGGACGACAACGAUUUAUCGAGCAAAUGGUCGAGAUCUGGGUCAACUAUGGUGGGAAGAGAGAUGUUGUGGAUGUGAAUCACUUCUGCCAAUGCCCAACCAUGAGAUUGUGAUGAAUAGUUCGUACUUUGCGUGGGGUUUGUGCUAAACUGUAAUAUUCCAGGGUUGUUGGUACCCUCCCUCUUGCAUACAAUUCUCUCACCCAAUCAAUCAGCACCACCUCAU